GUUCAUCUAACACCUCCUUUGAAGACCAGCAGAUGUUUCAUAAAGGGUCUAUACGUGGGAGGUCUAAGUACAGAGCUUGACUGUGAACUUUCAUCAAGAGAAAGCUGAUUACAGGUUGGCAACUGGCCUGUCUGUCGUACAUCAGGAAACAGAAGAGCAGAAAAGCUUAGGAUACGUGUGGCUAAGGCAAAAAGAACUGUUCUCUUUAGCUGGCUGCACAGAAAUACUCAAAAUGUUUUGAACAUCAUGACGAUUCUUUUCACACCAGCACGAUGACUUCUGAUACAGUUGUCAGGACUGUUUAAAAACCAGUAUGAUGAU